AGUACACAUGAAAGAGGUACCAAAAUAGCAGAAUACAGAAUGGUUUUCCUUGGGGAGGUUAGCUAUUGAGUACAUUCUCUCAGGCUUCAUUCCC